rnacentral:rRNA from 1 species
AUUGAACGCUGGCGGCAUGCCUUACACAUGGCAAGUCGAACGGCAGCACGGGUGCUUGCACCUGGUGGCGAGUAGGCGAACGGGUGAGUAAUACAUCGGAACGUACCUUAUCGUGGGGGAUAACGCAGCGAAAGCUGUGCUAAUACCGCAUACGCCCUGAGGGGGAAAGCGGGGGAUCGAAAGACCUCGCGCGAUUAGAGCGGCCGAUGCCUGAUUAGCUUGUUGGUGGGGUAAAAGCCCACCAAGGCGACGAUCAGUAGCUGGUCUGAGAGGACGAUCAGCCACACUGGGACUGAGCACGGCCCCAGACUCCUACGGGAGGCAGCAGUGGGGAAUUUUGGACAAUGGGCGAAAGCCUGAUCCAGCCAUGCCGCGUGCAGGAUGAAGGCCUUCGGGUUGUAAACUGCUUUUGUACGGAACGAAAAGACUCUGGUUAAUACCUGGGGUCCAUGACGGUACCGUAAGAAUAAGCACCGGCUAACUACGUG